AGAGUUUGAUCCUGGCUCAGGAUCAACGCUGGCGGCGUGCCUAAUGCAUGCAAGUCGGACGGGGGCGCCUUCGGGCGUCUCACGUGGCGGACGGGUGCGGAACACGUGGGCGACCUACCCUGGGGCGGGGGAUAGCCACGGGAAACCGUGGGUAAUUCCGCAUGGGCUUGGUCCGGAGUAGCCGGAGUAAGCAAAGGCCUGGUGCAAGCCGGGCCACCCUAGGCGGGGCCUGCGGCCGAUUAGCUAGUUGGGGGGGUAACGGCCUCCCAAGGCGAUGAUCGGUAGCUGGUCUGAGAGGACGGCCAGCCACACGGGGACUGAGACACGGCCCCGACUCCUACGGGAGGCAGCAGCAAGGAAUCUUCCGCAAUGGGCGCAAGCCUGACGGAGCAACGCCGCGUGCGGGAUGACGCCUUUCGGGGUGUAAACCGCUUUUCGGGGGGAAGAAGGUCGGUCCGCGAGGAUCGGCUUGACGGUACCCCCGGAAGAAGGACCGGCUAACUACGUGCCAGCAGCCGCGGUAAUACGUAGGGUCCGAGCGUUGUCCGGAGUUACUGGGCGUAAAGGGCACGCAGGCGGCGGCACUGGCCCGGCGUGAAAGCCCCCGGCUCAACCGGGGAGGGUCGUCGGGGACCGUGCCGCUUGAGGGCAGCAGGGGGUGGUGGAAUGCCCGGUGUAGUGGUGAAAUGCGUAGAGAUCGGGCGGAACACCCGUGGCGAAGGCGGCCACCUGGGCUGCACCUGACGCUGAGGUGCGAAGGCGUGGGGAGCGAACGGGAUUAGAUACCCCGGUAGUCCACGCAGUAAACGAUGCCGACUAGGCGUGGGGGGACUUGACCCCCUCCGUGCCGGAGCCAACGCGGGAAGUCGGCCGCCUGGGGAGUACGGCCGCAAGGCUAA
rnacentral:rRNA from 1 species